GGGGAAUUUUCCGCAAUGGGCGAAAGCCUGACGGAGCAAUACCGCGUGAGGGAGGAAGGUUUUUGGAUUGUAAACCUCAAAACUUAGGGAAGAAAAAAAUGACGGUACCUAAUAUAAGCAUCGGCUAACUCCGUGCCAGCAGCCGCGGUAAUACGGAGGAUGCAAGCGUUAUCCGGAAUCAUUGGGCGUAAAGAGUCUGUAGGUGGCACUUCAAGUCUGCUGUCAAAGACCGAAGCUUAACUUCGGAAAGGCGGUGGAAACUGAAGAGCUAGAGUAAAGCAGGGGUAGAGGGAAUUCCCAGUGUAGCGGUGAAAUGCGUAGAGAUUGGGAAGAACACCAGUGGCGAAGGCGCUCUACUGGGCUUUAACUGACACUGAGAGACGAAAGCUAGGG
rnacentral:rRNA from 1 species